GUCUACGGCUGUGCCACCCUGAACAAGCCCGAUGUGUGAUCUCAGAAGCUAAGCAAGAUCGGACCUGGUUAGUGCUUGGUUGGGAGACCACCUAGGAAGACCAGGUGCUGUAGGCA
rnacentral:rRNA from 1 species